rnacentral:rRNA from 1 species
UCUUCCCUCUUUCUUCGUGCCUAAUACAUGCAAGUCGAGCGAACGGACGAGAAGCUUGCUUCUCUGAUGUUAGCGGCGGACGGGUGAGUAACACGUGGAUAACCUACCUAUAAGACUGGGAUAACUUCGGGAAACCGGAGCUAAUACCGGAUAAUAUUUUGAACCGCAUGGUUCAAAAGUGAAAGACGGUCUUGCUGUCACUUAUAGAUGGAUCCGCGCUGCAUUAGCUAGUUGGUAAGGUAACGGCUUACCAAGGCAACGAUGCAUAGCCGACCUGAGAGGGUGAUCGGCCACACUGGAACUGAGACACGGUCCAGACUCCUACGGGAGGCAGCAGUAGGGAAUCUUCCGCAAUGGGCGAAAGCCUGACGGAGCAACGCCGCGUGAGUGAUGAAGGUCUUCGGAUCGUAAAACUCUGUUAUUAGGUAAGAACAUAUGUGUAAGUACCUGUGCACAUCUUGACGGUACCUAAUCAGAAAGCCACGGCUAACUACGUG